rnacentral:lncRNA from 1 species
GUUUGACCAAAAGAUAAAGUAUAGGUGAAUCUUUUUCUAUUCGAAUUAAAAGAAACUUAAUACAAUUAAAGAAAAAAAGAUGACCACUUAACCAGCCAAAAAAGCAGCUUAAAACAAAUAAAAAGUUAUUACUGUAACGAAAAAAAAAAAUUAAUUAAUUAAUCUGACUAAUAUAGGGCUUGGUAAAAGAACAGGGUUUAAUAAUUGAAAAAUAAAACUAUCAAAAAAUAUUUUAUAAAUUCGAGAGUCUUUAAUUGAAUUGAUAGGGCGCAAAGAUUGAUAAUCUAAAAGGUCUUUAAUUCGAUACCAAUAAAAUAAAAGAUACGGUAGAACUAAUAAAGUUACUGUAUGGGGUUUUAGUAAAAGUGUAUAAAGAGGCGAAUAAUAUAUUGAUAAAAAUAUUAUUAAUUGUCCUAAAAUUAAAUCACUUACAGCCACAGUACCACUAAGAUUUCCUUCUAAAAGAAAAGCUCGUAUAGAUAAAAUUUGAGAAGGGCCAAUAGGCAGUGUUGUAAGAAAUCCAUAAUAUAGUCCAAAUAAAAUCAACGGACUUGAAAUAUUUAUCCAUGAUAAUAUUGAAGCCCAUAGUACAGAAAACUGUAAGGGAGUGUUUGUUAUCAUAAUAAAAUACUUUCUUCUUUAAAAGCAUAGAAGUAGGAUAAAAUAAAAAAGUUAAAUUACUUUUGGUAGAUAUAAAAAAAAUAAAAGAUUAUGAAAUUUAGUAAAAUUUUUUUUAUUAAAUUUCAUAAUCUUUUAUUUUUAAUAAUUUAUUACAAAUAAAUAUUUAAUUAAAUUUUAUUUGUUUUUCUUUUUUUGUUAAAUCGUUCCAACCUAAAUUCUCUAAAUUAUUGUUACGUCGUAAAGGACGAGUAACAAGUUCAAGAACAUCUCUUGCAUUUGUGAAACCGUGAAUUUGAGCAAAAGUAAAUUCAACAGACCAUUUUGUAUUAAUUCCUCUUGCUUCUAAAGGAUUUGCAUGAGCCGCUUACAACAUCAGACUUCAUCUCUAUAUUACAGCGCGUAUGUGAGCGUAUUGCGCGGCAACUUUUUCUACUUCUUGUGUUUCUAGUUUUUGUUGUCGACGAUGGAAUUUUACUCUUUAAUGUUGGACUUACCUCGCAAAAAUAUUGCUAUGUAUUUGAUUGCGAAUAAGUUGAACGUCAAAUUUUUAAGUGAUAUUAAACAUGUUUACCUAGUUUAUUAUCUGUCCAAUUUGUGUAGGCAAGCAACGCUGCGCUUGUAGUUACCCAUUGUCGCUGAAAGAUUUCAGGUUUCCCCUCUAUUCUAGGAGAUCUGAUUAUGAUUGUUUGCGCUGUUCGUAGCUUGGAAGCAAUGGUGCUGCAGUAUUCUCUGAUGAAGAAUUGGAGAUGCACACAAUUGAACAAUGGAAAAAGGAGUAUUAGACUCUUUUUUCUUCUGCAAUCCAUGCUCUUGCAUUUGUAAGUGCUUAGACAUACUUCCUUGUUUGUGGCCUUUUUCACAGCUUGUGGAAAUUGUGCCAAAUCUUUUUCGGCACUGAUAAUGGGUUAUUCUUUCAAAAUCACGCUAUUCGUUCUGUGCAAUUUUUCUCAGUACAAAUCUUGUUAUCAGACAUUCUGUUUUGUGCCUUUAUGUAGUGGUAUCCAGUAACCUCAUUUGUAAAAGAUUACGAUAGGAUGGUUAGUUGUGUUAAUAUGAGUAAUGGAUGUGACCAUUCGACGCCUUACAUGUUUGGUUGGUCUAAUCCAUGUUGAUCGGUUUUUUUGAUGACUUUGUAGGUGGGGACAAAUGAUACUCUUGCACAUGUGGCUCGUGAACUCAUGUGACUUGACGUUGCGCAGCUACCCGUCUUGCACUAUCCACCUCAUGCUCUAGUUCCAGAGUUGUUGCAUCUAGCUUGUCUCUUCGGUAUUUUAAGAUGUGAGUUCUUUUCUUGUUGACUGGAACUGGUUGUGUAAAACUUAGUCAUCACAAGGUGUCAAUGCUUGUUGUGCAAGGUCUAUUCAGAAAAAAUUUCGUUGAGAAGGUUAGGUUAUCCUCAUUUUACCAUGGCAAAUUUCAAUGUAGCAAAGCGAUACCAAAUGUCGUGUAAAUGCAACUUUUCCGUCCUAUGAAAGUCUCUUGUUUGAGGGCUCAUGACAUUGUCAUGUCUUGUCUUGUUUGUCGUUUUGCAGGCAUCUGCAGACAUUUCCGCCAUGUUCCUUUAUCUGUCCCACUGUUUUCACAACCUAUCGGAACCUUUCGUAUUGGAAGUUGGGUUUCAGGCAUUGCUGAACCUGGAGGCCCACCUCUACAAGUAUUACGAUGGGAUGAAUCCCUCAGUCGAGCACUUGCUUUGCUGUCUGAAGGUCUCUUUCCGCUUCUUUUUAAGAUUUAUGUACCUAUUACUUCUCUGUUUAUGGGUUGCCUUUAAAGUUUCAGCCAUUUAAGUUAGUUGAUUGAACAUGCACAAUGUUCUGAUUGUGCAGCUCGGGUCAGUGCACCACCUAUCGUGGAUGAGAAUGUUGUUUUUUAAGACGUCUAUGCUCGGGGGUAUAACGCACACUCGAAUUCGCCAAUAUAGUUGUUUGUUUAGAGAUUGGUUUUUGUAUCCCAAGAGCAGGAUUUCGCUUUCAUUCAUAACAAGCAGAAUUUAAUGGCAUUAGUAUGUCAUACACAGUGGGAGAUUCAGCUUGAAAUAUUUGUAUACGUUAUAAGUAGCAUAUCUGUUCCUUUCACAAACCAUCACUUAUUUGUGAUGUUUGCACAACUUCAUCUACCAGACAAUCUUUUAUGCCUUAUUUAUCUAUCUGAUUAAUAUUGUUGCAUUGGAUUGCUCGAGUCUUCCAGGGACAUCACAGCUCUUGCUAGGGAUUGCGCGUAUUCUCGACCUCAACUGAAUGACUUAACUAUCAGCCAGGUCUAGUCUGCAUGGAGCUAGUAUUCUUUUUCUGAUGCAGGCUUUGUUUUCAAAUGGUUUCUAUUGGUGUGUUGUCUCCCGUUGAGUGAUCAUUCUUUGGUUUUGUUUGAUUGCAUCUUUCUCAAUCUUCUACGGAUAUGGUAUGCAUGAUUUACAUUUAUGGCUGCAUUUUUUGCAUCCUGGCCUUGCCUGUUUUACAAAUUGAACAGACAUUGCAGAUAGGGGCAGGACCUGGGCCACUCCAUGGGAAUCGUUACCUCAAGUGCCUUCGAUCAGACUCAUUACGCCAUAAGGUUGAGCCUUUUGCUCUUCCAGGUAUGUAUAUUUAUCUAUAGAAUUUUUUACUUUCAGUUAUCUUGCUUUGUUGUUAGAAAAUUGAUAUUUUUACUCCUGUUAUUUUCUUAUGAUAAAUUGUUUCGAAUUGUUCUUGAUAAGAUAUUUAGGGGUGUAAUGGUUUCAGCACAACAUACAUGUUCUUUUAUAGAUGUGGGUUGGCCUUAUUGGGAGAUCUUGGUCUGCUUCCUGCGAAAGGGUUUCUUUUCGACUAUUUCAUGUAUUCAUUAUAUGCGCUAAUGUUUGCAGGGGUGCGGAGACUAAUAUGCAUUGAGGCUGGAAGUGGGCAAGUGGAAGGAAUUAUUACGUUGCGAGAUGUUUUCCAGUUCCUACUGUAAAUUACAUGCUGGGUUACACGUUCAGUGAAAAGAUUGCUGACAUUCGUCUGGAAUUUUUUCUUUUAAGGCGCAACUUUAUCCUGGAAAGAGGGUUAGUCCUCGAUUUUAGCUUCGGGUUGUUGCCUUUUUCAUUAUUGGUUCAAUAAAGCUUGAUGCAAAUGUAGUGCGCAUGGUGUGUGCCCUAGAGUGGUUCCUACUGCUCUGUCAUUGUAAAAUCAUGUUAAUAUCUUGCACUUCAAUGCUAUCUUUCAACAGAAUCCUUGCAUGUAACUCACUUGUGAUUUUCACUUUAUUUUUGAGGUUGUAUUGUAUUGUACAGGUGAAAUUCAUUGCACAUCGUUUCGUUCAGUUUGUGCUUUGCUUAUUUAUUGCUUGAUUGUCUAAUUGGACUUGAGUGUUCAUAAUUUAGUUCGCACUAAACCAUGUUCUUUAAAAAGAAAAACAAAUUGAGUUAUUGUAUAUUAUCAAUUACAAAUACUCUUGUUAUCCAUUUUUUAUUUAGGCAUAAAAUUGUAUGAAUGUUUAUAUAACAUUCAAUUUGAAUCCUUUUGUGAUUCAAGUAGUCAAAAACAAAUGACAAGAGCAAAAAGAAUGAACUUAAAAGACAAAAUGAUUUUUAAGAUCAUAAUCUAUUGUUGUAUAGGAUAAUUUCACUUGAUUAAAAGGGGAAAUUUAUAUGUAGAGGCCAACUUCUAAAAGUCAUGGUUUCUAAAUUUGGGCUUUUGGAUUUAGUAUAUACUGAGGAGAAGCCAUAAAGUAAAAAAAAUCAUUUUUUUCAUGAGUCUGAAUGUGCCAAUACAUAUAUGUAUUCAAAGAUUACAGGAAGCAAAACGCACUCUAUGUUUGGACAUGGUAAAAAAAACAGGACCCAAUCAAGAAAUGGAGUUAUUUUCCUUCAACAUUUUAAUGUAUAACAUUCAUUUACUUGUUACGUAACAGAUUUUAAAGAAAACUAAAAUAAUUGCCAUAAUUUGUUCGAACCCCUGAAUUUUUGUGAAAACAGCCUUUGAAAAGGAUUUGAUAGAAAAAGCAAAGGGAACACUAUUUAUGUUAUGAAAUGAAAAAGUACAUUCUAUCAUAUGCUUUUCCGUCACAAUACUUUUGUAAAUAUUAAUCCAACCACAAGCUGUGGUCUCCACCUUCUCCCUCUAUGCUCAAAGCCCCACUAAGCUUUGACCUAGUGUCAUUUCACACACAAUGCCUAUUACAUGUAACUGGACACUGGCAUAAUGAACAAAAAGAACCCCUCAAUAGACAAACACAGAGGAGUGAACAUUUGGAAUUCAUGAAGUUGGUCAAAGCCCACAUGGUUACAAAUUGGUCCUCGACACCCUCACCAAGACUCAAAAUUUCAGAUAUCAAAUUACUAAUUAUCACAAAUGUCUCUGCUCUACGCUGUUUGUGGAAUGUCAAUAACGACUCCGGCUUGAAUUUGACCCCACCCUAUCAAACGCCAAUGCUUCUCCACUCGCCUGCUCAGAGCCACUUUCUCUCCCUUGCUAGUGCAGACCGGAGUAGUUAGUUGCAACUUGGCAAGAUCGUUUUUAACAGCAAUCACACGAGCUCCCGUGGACAUAGACCCGAUGUUCAACAUGAGAACCUCACUCUUAGUCAACUUGGACACCUUUCCUUGCUUCUCCGAACCCUUGGUCCGCACACCCAACAACCUUCGAAGAAGGAAAAAGUUGACCUGAAAGGCAAGGAAGGCAAUUCUAAGUGACGGGACGAUAUUGCGACCGUAACGAACCUAACGCAACCAUCAAAUAGAGCAGUGCUAGGGGUCAGACAAUAAGAUUGAGAUCCACAUUAAGCUAAAAACCACUUCUUGAACGUCUGCCAUCACAAACACAGACAAUUCCGCAUUUGGAAAUGAGCAAUAUUAAACGAGCACGUAACAGGUGAAAUAAAUUACCUCCAACUCCACAAAGACAUCAGGAAGCUCCCCAACCUCACCAAGCACUUGCCCAACCAGUCUGUCAGCACGAGUAAGAGUAGGAUCAAUGGUUGUUCCCACUCCAAUUAGACCACCAGGCACCGCAAAUUGGAGCUCAUUCUUCUCAGCGAACAAGGAUGUGAUUCGCGAGAAAAUUGGUGUGCACUUGAUUCCACCACUCUCGUCCUUGGUAGUGAUUCCAGGCCGCACUUCGAUUCUUUGCCCCACCCGUAACACUCCCUGCACAAAGGUAACAGCAUCUCAGUGCCUUUCUCACGAAGGAGAAUCGGGCCAUUGAUGAAUUAAAUCAAAUCUUUCCUAAGAGCUACAUUGAUACCUUGAAGGCACUGUUAAUUCUUGACUUCGGGCAUUGUCACCAAGACUAGCCUAGUUGUAGUCCACUAAAGCCCCCAUCUACAUCCGUACCGAGACUCAUGUUGACACAUACCAUAAAGACAUUUUUUAUGACGGACUACCUGAUCAACUUAACCCUGCAGCCAUGUCCGGACAUGAACCCAACACAUAUGUCUGAUUGGCCGAUUACAUUAUCACACUUGACAACAACAUACCCUCAGAAUACUGCCACCAGCCACGCCACCCUUGAUUUCGUCAACUUCGGCACCAGGCUUGUUGACAUCGAACGACCGAAUAACGAUCAUGUUCGGAGGAGCCACGAAGUUCCUCUCUGGGAUAGGAAUCUUGUUCACAAUGUACUCGCAUACCACAUCAACAUUAUACUUGAGCUGAGCUGAAAUGGGCACGACAGGAGCCCCAUCGGCGAUCGUCCCCUUUCGAAGCAAAAACACCAGGUGUCAAUGCUAGUUCGAAUCCGCUACGCAGAUUCGUUCACCACUACAAUGUUACCGUCUUGCUUAUCAAUGUGCUUAAAUUACCUUGGCAAUUCGAAAACGACGUAACUGGAAUUAUACAAACUACAUAGUAACUAAACAAACAUCUACUUGUGCAUUACAAGUACAAUCUCUCGUACUGAGUGCAGACAGAGCUGACCAGAAACUGAUAAAAUCCAUAUUUACCAAAAGCAGAAGCAGGAACUACUCACGUAUACGUUUAGAAGAAAUGGCAGUAGUAUUAAGGACCCACUAAUCAGUCCAUGACCAUGUCACAGAACUACUUUUCAUAGGUAAUGAGUGUUGAAAAAAAAGCACUGUUUCACUGUUCGCUAGUCAGCAUCGCACAUACCUGAAUAAAUUUUUGGAUAGACUCGUGCUGGUUAAUAGCCACGCUUUCCUGAAUCAGAUCAAUUUUAUUUUGGAGAAUGAUGAUGUGCUUCAAGCGCAUAAUCUCGACGGCAGCAAGAUGCUCCGAAGUUUGGGGCUGGGGGCAACUCUCAUUGCUGGCAAUCAAAAGUAAAGCACCAUCCAUAAUAGCAGCUCCAUUAAGCAUAGUAGCCAUGAGAAUAUCGUGUCCCUGCAAACAAACACAAACAUUUCAAUCCGGAUUAAAAACAAGAACACGAAAGUACCGCUUCCCAUAAGCCCUCAGAUUAAGUGAUGUGUGUAGUCGAAUUCCUUGGAAAAUAAUCACAUAAUACACACAGUAUCGACAAGCGAUGAUAUCACGAUGGCCAUUGGUCCAGUGCAGAAGCCUCCAGAGUGAUAAAUCCUACGUCUAAAAUGAAAGAUACAAGAAUUAAAUUAGAGUUCUAAUCUACAACCCAUAAAAAAUUUAAAUGGAAACUUUUUCUAACUCCAUCACAAUUAAUACUUGCAGGCGUAAAAAGACGAUAUUGAAGUGAUAAUUGAGGCUACGAGAUCUGACAAAGAAAAAGAACUUACAGGGCAAUCGACGAAUGAGACAUGCCUCAACAGCUUCAUGCGGGCAGAUUCGUAUCCAGGAACAUCACAAAGAGGAUUGUCUUCCUUAGCACUCCCAUAAGCUCUACAACAAAAAACACAACGUACAUCAGCUAUCUCCAUAACCGAGAGUAAACAACAAAAUCAACGCAUGAGAAGAAAAUACAGAUGAGAGAUCGAAAGUCGCAAGCAUAGAGAACAGGUACAAAUCAUACUUAUAGCUCAUGGGUCGAGGACAGCGCUCAUCUUCACACUUGUAGAUUUUGGCGUUGGCAUAACCCAGCUUAAUGGUGAUAUUCCUCUCCAACUCGUUCUUGAAUCGGACGGUCUGCUCCGAAGAAGAGCACAACAGAAUUUACUCAAAAACGUAAAAGCCGAUUCUCACCAUUUCUAAAAUCAACCAACUUCCAAAAGGAAAAGGAAAAAAAUAAAAUAAAAAUAAGAAGAAAAAAAUGAAGGCCGCCCAGAGAAAGAAAAAUAAUAAACCAACGAGAACCUAAAUCAUACCUGCACACCAGAUAUGGCCUUCACUACUGUCGACUUCCCGUGAGCCACAUGGCCAAUUGUACCUAUUCCACCACAACAUCAACAACAACACUUAAAAUUGCCGACCGCCACACUACACUACAUACUACAAGCUUCCCUCGGCGAACAAACACACACACACGCACGGACACACCCAACCUCGAACCCUACAUCGGAAUCCCCUAAUCGCUUACCAAUAUUGAUGGUGGCCUGACGAGAGAUAACUUCAGGUGACAGCGGAUGUAGCGUCGUCACGUCCAGCUUACUAAGAUCCUGCUCCAUCAACCCCCGCUUCGCCAUGGCUGCGGACUGUGAAGAACCCUUGCGCGAAGCAAGAAACACACAGUGAAGCAAAAAGAGAGCAAGAAGGGGCGAGGAGGAAGGAUGAUGAAGAGAAUAGACCUCCGAGAGAGAGGGGGAGUGAGGAAAGCGGAAGGGCCGGUAUCGAAGGGAGGGGGGUGGGGGCAGCAAACCCUAAUUGCACGACGACGACGAAAAGGCCUCCGAGGUCGGGAAUACCAGGGUUUAAAGCACACCCUUGCCUUGGAAGGGACGCUCCCCGUUCCCCUGUUCCCCUGUUCCCCUCCCCUGAACAGGUUCCCUCCCCCCGUUCCCCUGUUCCCGUUUGCUUUGAGGCCAAGGUUUGUUCAAAGUUUUUUUAUUUGUUGAAUUUCGCAUCUCAAUUUGGUGGUAUGAUUUGGGUGUAGAAUUAUUGCAUCACUAAGCAUGAUUAUGAGCACCUGGUUUUGUUUUCAGCUGAGGAAAAGAAGCAAAUGAAAAAUCUGUUGCGCUUUUGUAAAGGUGUUCUUUAAAAUGUUUUUUUUUAAUUUAAAAAAAAAUAGUACAGGAAUUUGAUGUAUUUUAAUUAUGAUGUAAUUUUAUUUUAGAGAAUUUUUUAUUUUUUCAUAAAUAUAAUUUGAUGAAAAAUAUACUAAACUAAUAAAUAAAUUUAUAGAGAGAAUAUAUCUAUAUAUAAUUCAAAAAUUUAUAUGUUCAAUCAACAAAAGAAUUGUCGUUUUAAAUUAUUUACUGAAUUUGAUGUAGAAAACGUAUUUGUUGCAUGUUUCAUCUAUUUUAAGAAAACUGGAGUUAGUUAGAUUUUAGAUUUAAUUAGUUUGAUUGAAUGUGACUUUGAUUUUGAUUUUAUUUUUAUUUUCAAACAGAGAAUUUCUUUUAAACGUUCAAAAAAACAUCAUUUUUUUUUAAUAUUAAUACAAUGUACAAUACAUUUUUUUUUAAUUCACAUUGCGCACCUAGUAGGAAUAUAGUGACAGUUCUAUCUAGUCACCUCUUCAACUGGAACAGUCUUUCUGCAAAAAGAAUGUCUCAAGCUACCAGAUGCAUACAGUAAUGUGAGGUUUAAUCAUGGUGGCUGUGGAUCUGCUCCAAAUUCUUGCACCAAGAGUUCAUCAAACUCACCUGACUUCUAGACUCCAAUUGAACUCACAUUAUCAAGCAGCGAUCUUCUUAUAGAAGCAAAAUAACUUGAAUGUCCUCGUAUAAUCUGAUUCAAGCGGUCAGACGUAUCAAUACAUAUAUGAUGAAAUGCUACAUGAGCAAUGUUCACUGAUCACAUAUCUAAUCAGUGUCUCAAUCAACAAGCACAAUCAUAUUCUACCAUCCGCUACCAAGUAUUUUAAAAAUCUACUCUCAGAGCUUUUCAGUGUUUGAUUCUGGCCAAUUGCAGAUAUCAACUAGUUUUCAAUCUCAAAUUAAAAUAAGCGUAACUGAGAGAAUGUAACCACUUCUUCAUAUAAUUUCGUCAAAUUAAACUUUGUGAAAUCAUGCAAAUUUUGUUCCUUGUUUUAAAUUAGAAACAAUCGUCAUAGAAAGAAGGUGAAAAAUUUAGCACACUGGAAGAGAGGGGGAAUUACAUAUGAUUAUUUAUAACUCUAAGAAGAAAUCUCCUCAUUCCAACAUAAGAAACCUGCAGUUAAAAAGAAAGUUUUAGAACCCCAAAAACGGCCCAGCGUUUUCACAAAUUCAAAAACCAAAUUAUGGCAAAUGUCUCAUAUACAGCAGCAGCGCAGAGCUACAACACAUUUCCCAUUCUUUAGCGGCAAGCAGGGUUCAUUUUCAUACCUUUGUCAAACCCUUACCGAAUGGGCCAGCUUGAUUGUAAUCAUACUCUGGUCGAUUUCAGGUUUCCACAAGUUGUGAUAAAGUGGGGAGGUGCAGAGUUAACAAACAAUCCUUCAUAACGGCCACCAACUUUGCGUGGAUUUCAUCUCUAUGUAUUCGGUAAUCCUAUUUCACAUCCAGCACAAGAUCCAGCUUCUUACUGUACACUGGUUACAGCUCAUUAUAACAGCCGUUUUAUCACGCAACUCUUUGAAAAAUUAGACGUACCCUCAAGGCACUACUAACAUUGCAGCAGUAAGAAAUGCAUGCUCCAGAUGAUACUACAAAGAAAAGCCCAAUAAGAGCGUCUAAUAGACUGAUAGUCUGACUUGCCAAAGCCCAAUGCUUUGCUGUUGUUUGAAUUAAAACCAGCAACAUAUCCUUCCAUUAGAUACAUUAAACAAAUGACAAGACUCGAAAGUGCGAAUAAGAGAUAAAAAGUGGAAGACAUUUCGAAAGACACGUCUAACACAAUGAUCUGUCGUCUGAAUCUUGCGCAUAGAACAAUCUCAGACACCUAUUAAUUCCUUCUACAGUUCAAUCAGAUUUAAUUUUGUACCAGGAUAGCUCAUGCACUUAGUACCAAUUGACAGGACCGAGAGCUGAUUCGAGUUUACAAUGCUCGAGUUUCAUCCUUACCAAAACCAGCAAAACGCGUUUCAUAUUCCAACACAUAACGCACACAACUUUAACUUACGGACAAGGGAAGAAGUAAUUAGAUAUCCACCAAUUGACACUAUGAUAACUAGAUUCUCGUAUUUGGAUACUAUUUACAUGCGACCUUUCAUAUGUCUUCUUGCUUCGACUAGCACUUGAAUUCGUCACUAAAGGUUCUACUGGUGGGGUUCGUUAAGGUGUGGACUUGGAAAUAUCGCCAAUAGAUAAUUCUUCAUUGCCUUGCAAGGAUGGACUUUACCUGUCACCGGCUUCUCCAGCAGUGUAAUGACAAACACCAUGAAACCUAUUAAUUUUCAAAUUACUACCUUCGUUUAAGACUUCGUAAUUCUAUCAAUCAGCUGAAUUUGAAGGACGAUCUCUCUGAUUAACACAGAGGAAAAUGCCCCCAACACCUUUAUAGAUUACUAAGUUUUUGGAACAAGUGGAACGCCAAAUGUUACUCGAGCAUUGUGCUUACCUUGUCUUUAAGUGCGCUCACGACCUCGUCUGCCUCUACAAUGACAGUUCAAGGAUGUUGAUCAACUGCUUGCUCAGUAGUACAGCACGAACGACAAUGGCUGUAACAGUAUGAAAACCACUACUUGAUGUGCAGAACUCAGUAAACCUGUUGGCAAAAGCUUGAAACCCACCGGGAGCAUUAACUACGGUCCAGGUUUCAUGCUCUUACACAAUUGUUAGCUUUAAUACCUACAAAACAAGAAGCGCACGUUUAAGUAAAAAAAAAAAAAAAAAAAAAAAAAAAAAUCCAUGCAAAUUACUAACAGUUCAGAAGAAAGCAGGCUCGAAACGUAUUCAGAAAAUUAGAAAAAAUGAGCUAAAAUUGGUUCGUAAGACAAAGAUCAAAGACAUUCGCUCCGCGUUUAAAGGUCAAACUAUAGGUACUGCUAUUCCAAAGUUCUUUCUAGAUACUAGCAGUCUCGAAGAACAGCCUCUUAACUCCAUAUAAUUCUAAGAUUAACCGGAGACAUCAAGGUCAUAAUGCGUCCAACGCAUUUAGCUUUAGUGAGAUAUAGAAUAAUCACUUGAAAAUGCACACCAAUGCCCCAGGUAAUUUAAACUUGAUAAGCACCAGGACAAACAAAAGACGCAAAAAUGCUUCUUGAAUGUAGAAAACCAUACAUGUGUGUUGUGUUGACUAUCAACACAUGACUUCGGUUGGUACUGUAACGUGCAACGUAUGUUGUAGCCUAAUCGACCUCCAACCUGAAUGUCAAAGCAAAUCCAAUUACUGAAAGAGACGGACAAAGAGGAAGGUCUGCUACUAAUAACACAAACUCACCAAUCAGCACCAAAUAACGAUUGUAAAAUUCAACCUGCAGAGUUGAACCUCCACGUAGUACACAAUAGAGAAAAAGCAACCUUUACCUGAUUCCUCUCAUAUAUUCCAAUCAACACCAUAGAAAGUAAUACGUUAGCUUACCUUCUCAAUUGGAGAUAUAAAGUUCUGUCUGAUGUCCUAGAUGAAAACGAACUCUUCCAGGCGCAAUUUAGGAUGUUUAAGUGUCCGCAACCCCAGAAGUAAGCCCACCUUACAAGAGCACCGGCACACGCUGCGCAUAUUUCUGUGGUGUGCUCUAGCAACACAACGGUUCCGACAACCAAAAGUUGCAUUUGUCAACAUAAUAGAAGCAGUGGGUCAAACAAAGGAAGAGAAAGAAGCAAGACCUAGUAUUCACAGCUUAAGAGAAGCAAUUCUGAUAACAUCUCAAGUGAACCUGACGUGUAGAUGUUUUUAGUAGUCUGAGGUUCAUUGACUAAAAUAAAAGGUGGUUUCAAAGAGAACCUCAGCAAUAUUUGAAAGUAACAUUGGAGAAGAGAUGAAUCUCCAAUAAAAUUAUACAUGUUGAGAGCAUUAAAUAUAGCCGACGCUCUCCAUGCUAUUUACUAUAGUCUAUAGUAUUUACUGUAGCUACAGUGAUAUAAUCCUAUCAAUAAACUUACUUCAUGUGUGUGUAUGUUUACAUAUGUGUGCAUAUUACUUUUAGCUACUAUUGUCUCUCUUUCUCUAAAGCAUUCUCAACAUGUUAUCAGCACAAUUGCUUUUAUAUUCUACACUUAGUUCUUAGUUCUUAAAAACUUCUGUGCAUUUUUUUCUUUCGUUAUCUCUUAAAAUUUUUUUCCCUUCUAAUGUUGUUGCUGUCAUGUGUCGCUGCUACUGUGUUUGCUGCUGAUGCCUCCGAUUGCUGUUGACUAUUGCCAUCCGACGUAUUCUACCACUGACUGACGUAUUCUACCACUGACUAACGUACUCUACUGCCGACUACUGCUGACUGACGUACUCUGCUGCUAACUACUGCUGAACUACCACACCUUGCUGUGCCCUGAUGCACCUUAUUGCAGUCCACAGCACACCUUUAUUUUUGUGAAAUAAUAAUAAUAAUAAUAAUAUAUUUUUUUUAACAUUUUUUAUUUCAAGUUUCAACUUAAUCAUUCUAUUUGGCUUUACAUUUCUAAGGUAAAUUUUAUUCAACCUUUUCUACUUGAACUGGUAUUUUUUUUGUUCAUAGAUUUAUUUAUAAUGAGUACUUUAACAUCUUCAACUACUUCUACUAUGUUUCCAACUAUCAUCACUGCAUCCCAACAUUUUCAAGUUCUUCUAUUUCCACCAUUGGCUGCUGAUGGAAACAACUAUUUAUUAUGGCCAAAAAUGGCAAAAGCAAAUUUAUUUACAAAACAACUAUCUGAUGCAAUUCUAUUUGAAGAAUCUCCUACUAUAUGUACUUCAAUUCCUAUUACUAUCCAUUGGAAAGCACUUCUUCUCCCUCAUUGACAUCUUGUACCUCCAUUACAACAUCAAUAUUUAGAAAUAGAAGAUCCAGCCAAGCUCUAUGAAAAUCUUAAAUCUACAUUUGAUCAUCAAAAGACCAUUUUCCUUCCACAUGAACGUCAUGAUUGGACACAUUUACAUCUCUUGGAUUUUCUAAAUUUAAAUGCUUUCAAAAGUAAAAUAUAUCGUAUUAUCUCACAACUAUAAUUAUGUAGACAAAGCAUCUCUAAAAAAGAAAUGAUUGAAAAAACUCUCUCUACAUAUCUUCCAACAUUUGUUGUGCUUGUACAACAAUAUAAAAUAUAAAAUUUCAGAGUCAUCCUAAUCUCAUAUUCUAUUUACUUCUUGUGGAGAAAUAAAAUGAGCCACUCUUAUCCAAUGCAGAAUCUCAUCUUAUUAAAACCAUAGUUCUAAAAUCUCAUGCACUUAAUAUUCCAAAGUCUAAGAAACAAUUAUACAAACAUGAAAAAAAUGCUCUCAAGCACCAGGUCAAUCAUGGUCAUGACUAUUUCUGUCCAUAUAGAAAGAAUAAAUAUUCUACAAUUAAUUGCAAUAGAAAAUAAAAAUUAGAGAUGUAUUCUUGUCAUAAAUACAGAAUGAUUGGACAUUUGUCACAUGCGUGCCGUACUUUAAAAUAAUUUAUUAAAAUAUUCUAAGAAAAUUUUAAAAAAAAACUUCGAGAUGAGACUCAUGAAGUUCAUACUAUGGAUGUAUUGAUGGAUUCAAUUGGUCUUGAUGAUUUAGAGGCUUAUAUGAAUAACAAAACCUCUAAUGAUGAAUCAAAUGAUGCACUCAUUGAUUUUGCAACAACACAUAUUAUUAUAUGGGAUAGAUGAAUUUUUAUUGAAAAAUCUUCAACUUAGCAAACCAAAAAUUUGAUGACUAUGGCUAGAAUGAAUGCGUUUUGUUUCCAAGAGGGAAUAACAAUGAUAAAAUUGCCUGCGAGCUCUAUCAUAAAAUGUAAACAUGCAAUGUUUGCACCCUUAGCACCUCAGAAUCUAAUCAACUACCAAGAUGUGAGUGCCAAUGGUUAUCACCUCUCAAUUGCAAUUUUAAAUAGGUGAGAGAUUUUGGUUCUUGAAUAGAACCAUAAAGUUCUAAAAAAAGCCUUUGCUCCAACAAAUGGUUUAUAUUGGCUUACAAUCUGGCCUCUUAUUAUAUUUAAUUUUGCAUCAUCUAUAACAAAAAAUCACAUCUUUCUUUGACAUGGACGAUUGAGACAUCCAAGAUCUAUAUUAUUUCAAAAAAUAAUUCCAUGUAUAAUUAGGUAUAAUUUAAGACUUACAGAUGCAGAUUCUAUGGAAUUGUAUCAUACAUAUAUGCAAGGCAAGUUGAUUGCUUGGCUAUCAAUUUAGAGACCCCCACAAGAACUACCACUAAUACUUGAAAGAUGCAUAGUGAUAUUUGUGGUCAUAUUAAUCCAAUAUUUAGACUAUUUCAUUAUUUUUUGGUCUUUAUUGAUGCAUGAGGCAAACAAUCACAUGUAUCAUUAUUAACAUUUCAAAACAUGGUAUUUUCUAAUCUUAUAUCUAUACUUUUUUUUUUAGCACAUUUUCUUGAUUAUCCUAUCAAAACAUUACGUAUGGAUAAUACAAAAGAAUUUGCAUCAAAGUCCUUUGAAGACUAUUGUACUGUAAGAAGGACUAAGUUGACAUAUUGUGUUUUAUAUGAACAUGCUCAAAAUAGACUUAUAGAGUCAUUUAUAAAGUGUAUAUAAGUCAUUACCCGGUUACUCCUUCUUCAUACAAAUUUAUGUGCAUCUAUGUAGGAUCAUGGAGUUUUACAUGCUACAACAUUAAUAUGCCUCUGUCUUUCUUCUCUUAAAGUUAUUACACCACAAGAGCUCAUUUCAAGUCAUGUUCCAAAUAUAUCUCAUCUAUAGAUAUUUGGUUGCCAUACUUGGAUUCUAAUACCAUAACCUCAACAGCAUAUUAUUAGAGUUCAUCAAAAAGAAGGCAUAUAUGUUGGUUUUGAUUCAUCAAGUAUUAUUUGUAUAGUUGAUCCAUCAACUAGCACAUUAUUAUGUGUACGUUUCAAAAUUAUCGUUUUGAAAAGAACUUAUUUCCAUUUCUUCUAGGAGGAGUAUUUAAUCAAUAAAGAAAUACAAUACUUGCAUUUGGAGCACAAUAAACAUUUAUAAUGAAUCCUGAUUCUAAAACAUCUUUGGCUGAAAGUGAAGAUGCAAAGAUUUUGUAUCUAAAACAUAUUAUAAAUGAAACACCUGAUGGCUUCAAUGAUGCAACUUGAAUUACAAGAGUUCUAAUUAAUGAGGCUCAAAAUGAACCUACUCAAAUUGUAAUACCAUUAACAAAUAUACCUCAAGUUAAAACAUCAGCAAUUAAAAGGACUUAUAGACUAAAUAAGCAACCACGCAAGAAGAAAGCUGUAACAUGCAGUGAUUCUGGUAUUGUUUCUAUGGAAGUUCUUACUAAACCUAGGGGACUAUUAAUUAAUGACAAUAUGUCUAUGCACAUUAUACCUUCACUUCAUGCUAUAGAAAAUUUUGAAAUUAAGAAGUUGAAUACAUAAUUAUAUAUGGAAUAUCAAGUUGAAUACAUAAUUAUAUAUAGAAUAUCAAGUUGAAUACAUAAUUAUCUAUUCUAUAUUAAGCUAUAAAUGACCUUUGAAAUAGACCAUCUAAAAAACCACAAAAGAAAAGGCUAUAAUAUGUGGUGAUUUUGAUAUUAUUGUUAUAAAAGUUCCUACUAAACCUAUGGGACCAUUAAUUAAUGAUGAUAUGUCCAUGCAAAUUAUACCUUCACCUCAUGCAAUAGAAAAUCUUAAAAUAAAGAGGAACAAAAUCAAAUUAAGUAUACAAUUAUCUAUUCUAUAUUAUGCUAUAAAUGACAUUUGAAAUAAAUCAUCUAUUAUAAUAAAUGAAUCAUUUGCAUUCAUGAUGGCAGAAGCUCUUUUUUACAAGAAAGAGGAUCUUGAACCUCAAAUCAUUCAAGAAGUGAUGUGUUGCUCUGAUUAAUUAAAAUGAAAAACUGCCAUCAAGGAAGAGUAUGCUUCUUUGCGUAAGAAGAAAGUCUUUGGUCCAAUUGUGGACACUCUUAUUUCUUGCCCUAUGGAAUAUAAGAUAGUAUUAAUAUAUAAGUGAGAUGCUAAAGGUCAAGUAUCCCGUUAUAAAGCUUCUCUUGUUAUUCAAGGAUUUAUCCAACGAUCUUGCAUUGAUAAUGAAUCUACAUAUUUUCUAGUCAUGGAUUCAAUUACAUUCCAAUAUAUUAUUUGAAUGGUAGUUCAUACUGCCCUUGAGAUGCAUCUCAUGGAUGUGGUAACUACAUAUUUGUAUGGUUCACUUGAUGUAGAUAUUUAUAUAAAAGUUCUACCUCAUUUGGAAACAAGAACUCCAAAUGCACCUACUCCAAGACGAUAUCAUGAUAUUAAAUUACACAAGGCCAUGUAUGAUCUAAAAUAAUCUGGACGCAUGUGGUAUCAAUGUCUCCAAGAUUAUUUAAUUAUAAAUAAAUUUGUAAGUGAUCUAUUAAUCCUUUGUUUAUUUAUAAAAUAAGAUGAAAUUGGUUUUAUGAUCAUUGUUGUAUAUGUUGAUGAUCUUAAGCUAGUAGGUACUAGAUCUGCAUGCAUUGCAACUACUAACAUAUUUAUACAUGAAUUUGAGAUAAAAAUGCUAGGAAAAAUAAUUUUUUGUAUUGGACUUCAAAUUAUGCAUCUCAUAGAUGGUAGCAUUUUUUUCUAUCAACUAACAUAUAUUAGACAAAUCUUAUGAAGAUUUAAUAUGAUUGAUGCUUAUCUAUUAUCCACACCAAUGGUUAGAUGUGAUCGUGAUGGUCAUAAUCCAUACUGUUCGUACAAAGACAAAGAGGAAAUAAUAUGAAAACAAUAUCCAUACCUUGUAGCGAUUGGAGUACUUUUAUAUUUAACCACAUCUAUCAAAUUAGAUAUUGUAUUUGCAAUUAGUAUUCUUACAAGAUAUAAUACACAUCCAACACUACAAAAUUGGAAUGGCAUCAAAUAUUUACUACAUAAUUUUAAAGGCACUAAAGAUUUGGAAUUAUAUUACAUACAAUCUACAGAUCCAAAAUUGGUUGGAUAUUCUAAUGCAAGAUAUAAAUCUGAUAUUGCAAUAGCUAAAUCUCAAACAGGCUAUGUAUUCUUAAGACAUGGAGCUACAAUAUCAUAGAAAUCAAUAAAAUAAACUAUAAUUGCAACUUCAUCCAAUCAUGCAAAAAUUAUUGCCUUACAUGAAGUAUCUUCAGAAUGUAUUUAAUUGCCAUCAAUUGAUAAACUUAUUCAAACAUGUUGAUUUUCAUAUGAUGAUUCUCUAACUAUCUUGUAUGAAGAUAAUAGUGCUUAUGUUGCACAGAUAUAAAUUGGUUUCAUUAAAGGGGAGAGGACAAAGCAUAUUGAUCCAAAGUAUUUUAGUUAUAUCCAUGACUUCAUUACUAAUUAAGUACUUAAGAUCAAGAAGAUUGAAUCUGCAAAUUACCUUGUUAAUCGCUUUACCAAAGCUCUCCUUUUGUACAACCAUCGCUAACUUACUUAUGGAAUUGGCAUGCGGAGACUUGCUUUUCUAGAGCAAGAAAGUUAAUGAACUCUUGAGAUAAUGUUGUAUUCUUUUUCCUUCAUCUAUGGUUUUGUCCUUAAAUAUAAUAAGGUUUUCUUAGAUAAGGUUUUAAUGAAAUAGCAAUUGUUGAUAUUAUGAGAUUACAAAAAAGUAUAGAUCAUAAUUCUAUUCAUAUAAAUAUUAUGACAAGCGAGGAUGAGUGUUGGAAGCAUUAAAUGUAGCUGGCGCUUUCCAUGCUAUUCACUAUAGUCUAUAAUAUUUAUUGUAGCUACAUUGUUUGGAAUGUAGUGGAAAGACAUUGUUUAUUUUCUCUCCUUCUCUUUGUAUAAAGAAUAUAAUCCUAUCAAUAAACUUAUUUCUUGUGUGUGUGUUUACAUAUGUGUACAUAUUACUUCUAGUUACUAUUGUGGCUCUUUCUCUAAAACAUUCUUAACAAUAUAGACAUUUCUUAAACAUAUUCGAUGUAGGCAGUGGAGAGCUUGUCGUUGCCAAUGCAUCAUUAUAUGCAGAUGGAUCCCGAGGUAAAGAAGAUAUUUCAAUAAUCAGUAUUAGCACCUAAUCUAUUUAUCCAAUACAACUUCCAAAUUCAAACUUGAGAGAAACUUCCAGAGAACUCACAGAAACAGAAAAACACUAUCACCUCUAAAAUCAUUUGUUUCCCAGAAUACAUCUGUGCGAAACAAUCCGAAAUACGUUAUAACUUGACUGAAACAGGUUUAGUUGAAUCCGAAAGAAGUGUUUUCAUAUACAAACCAACCCUAAACAUCAUUAAUACGUUACAAAAAUUUCAAAGAAUGUAAAAGAGCUGGGCCAAGACAAACAUAAUUAGAACCUCACAAGUAAGUCAAACACUAAUUUUUCAUAUCCAUUUGUCGAUCUGUUGAAGGUCCCUCCUCAGCACUAGGAGACCUUGUAAACAAAAUAGGAGGAAGUUCCGCCAAUACCGCCUUCAUCAUCGUAGACAUUUUGUUGUUAAUCAAUGCGUCCUUGUAUGACCUUAGAAUUGCAGAGAGCUUGCACUAGCCCAAACACAGCGAUCAGUAAUAAACUUUAUCUAGAAUCAUAAUGCAUACCUUAAUUACCGACAUCAACAAGAAAAGCCUCAACCUUGUAAAUUAGAUCAAAAUCAUCAACUUAUAAUCGAAAAAACAAAAGCAAAGCACAGAGUGUACAUCAUUCUUUGCAUAGAGCAGAGGAGGACGACCGUCUUGAUAAAUUCAGCAGCCUGACUCAAGUAGAGAUUAAUAGGCAUCACGUUCUUGAAUCAAGAACUCAAUGUGGAAGAGCCUAUUCAUAAUUGAGGUUAUAUAUGCGUAUAUAUAUACAUAUAUAUAUAUAGAUCCACAUUUUUUAAUAUUGGACUGCAUCACAAUAUUCAGUACCUGUUCAAUGCGACAAGUUUCGUCCCCACUCUGAAAUUCAGCAAUGAAUGAACUGGAAUGUAUCCCCACGUAUUUGGCUAAUUUCAGAAAAAGAGAGCAACAUACAUUGAUACUUAAAGGAGGCGCAAAGACCCUCUGAGAAAAUGCUGAAGAAUGCUCCUGGAGACGAACGAUUACGGGAAGGGAAAUAGAUUGAAAAAGCUAACUAUUCUUGCUAAAUAGAACAGUAAUUCGCGCAUUGCGAAUCAUCUUCUUUAUAACACAUCCUUUGCGCAAAACCAUAGAAUCGUAGACAUCGUCAAUGAAAGUGUCGAAGGUCCGUCUUCAAAAAGUUUAUAUUGUUAGUAGAUUUAUAAAAUUUAUGGCAGAUACCACAUUUUAACUGUGAAACUUGCUUCAACAAAUCCCAUCGAACAGGUAAAUACCUGAAAAUAUUGAAUGCUGAUGUUAAUCGCAGAUUCAUUACAGCUUUUGUACUAACUGAUAAGAGGAACUGCAACUACAAAUUUAAGUACAUUUCAGCUGAUUUGCAAUUGAUGAAGCACACAUCAUCACUUCUUGGCAAGGGGCCAACGUACGAAAUGUCACAAACGUUUCCCGACAAUAGGUUAUCGACUGAUUAUGCUUAAACCAUAAUAGCAAAUACUCCUUUUCAUUAGAAACUGCAUUAAAAAGACUUCAAAUCUUCCCGAAAUGUCUUCAUGCCAUUAAAACAACGCAUGGGAGUGCCAAAAUAGGCUAUCGGCUACCGCCUCACACCAUCGAAUACUUGCAUUAUGUGCAUCAAGAGGUACUGAAUUCAAUACUCACCAGGAAUUGAUGCAAAUUCGUCAAUAUCUAAAGUACCUCAACAAUCUCCAGCUGCUAGAAGCUGCGAAACAAGAUGUCUCGGUUCUCAGAGUAUUCCUGUUACUAGGUGUGAUCCCAAGAGAAAACCAGUAGUUGUCUAACCACUGUAAAAGGGACUUCCCUCCACCUGCUUUGCCACCGGAUGGAAGAGUCUCAAUCGAAAACCCUCAAAUGCUAAGCGCUCGAGUUUUCAUUAUAACGAAAUUUUUGCAGAGCAUUCUUAUCAAAAAAAUGACCUACAAGAUAGUCUGGAUGAUAAUUGAAGACUCGAGCUCUAAGUCAACAUCGUAAGUAAAGUACUGGAAGAGCAAGAGACGUUCACAAAGUUACCAUACCAAUCGUGAAGCGGAUAUAGCUUGAUUGACACAAUUAGAUGUUUCAAUUUCUGGUUCUAUUCCAGCAUAUUAAUUCUGAGUAUUUCUAAGCUAUGCAGAUAUCUUCCAGACUCCACAAUGUCGCUAUUCAGCAAGCGUACUGUUCCCUGUAUCUCUCCAACCUGGUCAAAUGCACAUGCAAUUCUUGUGUUGAGAUUUUCCAGCUGGUCCAAAGCCUCAAAAAAAGAACCUUACCGAGCUGAAAUUCCUUUGAGCAAAUUGACCUCCACAAGCUCCAAGAAGUGAGACAAUUUCUUCUGCAGCAUCAUGUUCUGUGGAAGCGCUGAAAAUAUGCAUGUUGCUUGAAACGUAGACUCUCUCUCUAGAGCAAAAGCUUAAGGAACAUACAGAAAAGGAAUCUCACACAGAAAAGCCUGCAGGCCUUCCACCUGCAAUCUAGUCUCUCCAUUCCUAUUUGAUGCCAAUGUAGGUGCCUGAACAAUUUGUUUCCGACUUUUAUGUCGGUGGACCUUCGAAAAUCUGCUCACAAAAUCCAGGUAGGUUUAAAAAUUAGCUUUGGUGAUCUCGGGGAGCACUCCCGGUGUUAAUGGAGCAGAGAGAGGUUCCGCAUUCGGGUCUCCAGAUGAAGUUAACAAACACGUCUCCCAUGAAACGUCUUAUUCAUGAAUUUCCGAUUUCCCGAGACGUGGAUUGAUCCGCACAGGUGCCAUGCAAUAACCAUGUUGAUAAACGUCGGCAGCAGUCAUAUUGUCUCCAGAAGAAGACGCCGUUCGCAACAAAUGAUGAUUCAAUAAAUUACCACCUGCGACUCGAGUAUUUUCCAAAUGCUUCUGUGAGCUCUCUUGCGAAGGUCUGGUCGUGGAGAGGAGCGUUUCCAUCCUUCCAAUCGACCAAGUGACGAAGAACCGCUCAAGUUCCGGUGUGGAUCUUACAACACUCAACCUUCCUUCACCCGCUCGAACAAUGUGAUACUGAACCAACCGUAGCAAACGCUAAACCAUUCGAAAUUCUCAUUUCCCUCCGAUCUAUUUGUUGCCCCUGCGGUGGUCAGAUGUGGAGGCUCCCGCCGGUUCCAGAGCAUCGAAACAAUUCAGGAUGCAGUGAAACUGAGAUUUGCGAGACGCCAUAGCUGGUCUAUGGCUUUGCCAAUUGCAAUCUCCAUCACCGCUGACAUCGAACGGAGACGAAGACGAGGAAGGGAACGAGACUUCUGAACGACGUUCCCAUCAUGAGGAACUGUCUUUCGUUCGUCCGUCAGUCCUACUUUUGACUUUAUCGUUGUCCUGGGACCAUUAUUAACUGUGACGGCUUCGGUCUAAAUAGGGCAGUUUUAGCCACAAUUCAAAUCUAUUCGAAUAUGUUCUGUAAUUAUUAUAAAAUUAAAAUCAAAUUAAAACUCAAGGUACAAUAAUUCUUUAAUUCAUUGAAAUAUUAAAUUUAGCAAACUUAUAUAUAAAUAUAUAUAUAUAAACCAUAUAUAAUAUAUAAUUAUAUUUAUAUGUAUAAACAUACACAGUUAUAUCAUUUUGGUGGAUAUUCAAAACGGUAAUUGUUUGAAGCUCAAAACGUGAGAAAAUUUUAUAAAGUCAACACACAGGACCUUCAUCUUUUUGAAGUUCUAUUUCCAUGACCACGUGUUCUAUUCAGAUUAUAUGAUCAUGAACUGGAAUUCCUUGAAGAGUAAGUAAAACAUGAGUAUGCUCUGCAAUCUACAGAUGUACUUUGGAAUCUAUUUAUCUUAACUGUGAUUGCAUGGAUCAAAUUGAAUGAGUGGUGUUUAUUUGAAAUCGUACCUUUGAAAACGGAAAGCUACAUAUAAUCCAGCACAUUUUGAUUAUUGUAUAGGUUUACAUUGCCUCCAAAAUAUCAAAUAUUUAUGUAAUAGUUUUUUAAAUACCCACAAAUUACAAAGUAAGAAGUAAAGUAUAAUUAUUAGGAUGGUGUGAAUUAUUUUCAAGUUUGUUUUUGACACUUGGCGUGCUGAAAUUGUGAUAAAUAUGACUAUUAUCAUACUUUUUGUAGCAUAUUUUGUCUCAUUAAUUUUAAAAAUGGCAUAUACUAUUUUUAGUUUGUUAUAUUUACUUGGUUAAUUUUUCGUUUUCAUUGCUCUUAUUCUUCCAAAUAUGUAUUGUGUUUUGCACUGCUUCACAAUUUUUUUAGAGUAAGUAAAAUGUUUUCACAAACCUUUAUUCUUAACUGGAUUAACAAGUAAGCUUUUAAAAACAAUUGUGUGGCUUCAUCUGCAAUUGAGUACAAGUUCAAAAAGAAAUUGUCUUAAAACCGAGCAGAGAUUCAUUUUAAAUUGAAACAAUUGGAAACACAAGAAACAUUUUCAAUUUCAAGUGAUAUUCCACAAUGUUUUGUGCCAUUUCCAAUUAGUAUUCAACUGUUUCUUUUAAAUAUGACCUCCUUUUCAAAGGGCAUUAGUUUCCUAAACCCUAAACCCCUCUCAUAGUUGUUUUAAUCUGCAAUAAAAAAAUACAAAUUUUACAAUAGUCAAUUAAAAAAUUCUUUUCAUAUAUAUAAAAUAACCAAAAAAUUUAAUCAUUACACUCAGAUGAGAACUAGAAAAACAUAAAACAUUAUAAGAAAUAGAUAUAAUUAAUUAAUUAAGUCCAAUUAUUGAUUUGUUUCCACUUAGGGCAGUGGGUUCGUAGGUCUUAAGCUAGAACUGCACGUGGACCUUACAAUCGCCGCACGCCCGCCAUCUGUGGCACAGUCAGUGUGAACGGGGACAUCAAGCUAUUUGAAGUGUCAGCUCCGCAGUUUUGGGAUCUGGUCCGAGGUCCCCAGGCAGGGAGGGUGGGGGGGGUCUUAACACUUGGCCCUCCCAAGUUAGGGUUCCUCCUCAUGCGACACACACACUCUCUUCUUUUGUUCAUGGUCCUCUUCGUCCUCGUCCCACCCCCCCCCCCCUUCACACUCAUUUCUCCCGCAUUUUGUCCUGUUUUUUUCUGAACUAGUUACAAAGCUGCUAUUGAGCAGGACCUUUCCCUCUGCAAAAUUUCAUUGAUAAUUGUGCGUUUAGCUGUCAGAUUGUUUGUUUGUUUGUUUAUUUCUGUUUUUUUGUUUUUUGUUUUUGCCAUUUUAGAAGACGGCUUUGCUUCCUCCACGAGCCCAUGAGGGCGGAGGCGCGUGAUGGAAUUGCGAGAAGGUGAUUUCUCCUUUAUAUAUAUACUCAGUUUUUAGUCUAGAUUAUGAUACACGGUUCGGGUUGGACGAGUUGCGGGGACGGGGUGGGGCGACAUCAGUUCAUUUUAGCGGGUGUCUGAAAUAGCAGGAGUUUCUGUUGUGUAUUUCUUUUUCUUAGGUCGUUCAGCUGUGUGGCAAUCAUUUCUUUGGUUGUGUUUAGAAGCUGUUUGGCUGGGAGGUCACAUUCACUAUUCCUUUUUAUUUUAUUUUAUUUUAUUUUUUUAAUCAUCAAUAGCACUCAUUUUAAGUGCGCAAGGAAAAUUGGAGGCGUCAUGCCUAGAAUUUGGCAUCGAGAUGGUGGUUGUUCUUCUAUCGAUAGCCGUCUUGUAUCAGUCACUACUUAUGGCACAAUUCUAGCUUCCGUUUUCCUGUUCUCCUACAAUUCUUGGACCAGCGGCCAACAGGUCUGGACUGAAAUAAAAAGUGCUCGUAGUUGUUCUGUAGGUCUAUUGAUCUCGUGAAUGAUGAUUCCUAAAACCCUCAUAUAUGUACCUUGUACUUGCAGCUCAAUGUUUAAUUUUCAGUGCUUCUCACUGUGCAAGAAGUUCUGAUGCAACGUCUGUGAAUAAUAUCAUUCUAGCGAGCGUUCUUUCAGUGGAGCCUUUCUCAAGACACUAAGGUGCACGUCGUAGGGAUUGGGUAUCUGUCCAGCGAGCUGAUGUGAGACAUUCUUUCUAAAGCAGGUGCAGUUCGUAAUGCAGCUUAAAAGUAGCACAUUUUCUUGCUUGUCAGAAUGUUGUUCAAUUUUUGAAUUUCUGCUUUCUAGAGGAGAUUCAUAAGAUGGUUUUACACGUAUUGCCUUUUGUGGUAAUCCUUUUUUUGCUCAUAACUCAGGUUUACAGAACACCGUAGGCUCUGUCCUAGCAAUAGGAUCGGGAUGUUCCUCUCAAAAUUUUAUUUUGAAUUACUUUUGUUGGUUCUCUCGAAAUACUAAUUGGUUAAGUAACGUCCUGUUUACAAUUAAAUGCAGCGAGCUGUGAAAUCCUCAACAGUUAGGUGAUUCUGGAACGUUCAACUUAGAGGCCGGUGAACCCUAUUUAUCUAUUGAGUAAACGAAAAGUAUCUUAUUUUAGUGUAUAUCAUCUUCGUACGUUUUUAGCUGACAUUCGUGAGGAUAUUGUCAGGAACUGGGUCUCAAAUGUCAUCCUCGAUACGGGAGAGCUUUUCUUCCGGCAACGUGGUAUUUGGAGGACUCGCUGGUGCAAAUUCCGAGGGACUUGCAAAUGAAGAGUUUGGCAGUCCUGAAGCCAUUUCUCCUAGUAGAGAUGGCACAAAGCUUCUUCGCACCGGUCUCCAACCGUUUAGCGUAAGUUCUGCACGAGCGAUAGAGGGGUUCGACAUACGAUCACGACCUUGGCUUGAAGAGGUUAGCCUUCAUCGUCGUAUCUCCUUGUGUUUUGGUAGUCUUGUCGCUGUGGCACAGUAAUCUUGUUCCAAAAGUUCGUAGUAUAAGUUAUGACUGCAAGUAAUUUUCGAUGGGACUCAUAAGUUGAUGAAUUGUCAAGGCGAAUCAAAGACCAGAAGCGGUGAUCUCGAUCUGGAUAGAGGGGAGCGCGGUGGAGAAGUGGAAGUGAAAGUAGGCGCUGUGUCUCCGCCAGUCGAAGAUGGUGAUUUUGAGUCUCCUCCCACCACACCGAGGUCAACUACCAGUUGUAGUCCUUUUUUGGAGUGUCCAAGUACUCCUCUUCUCAAGUAAGUUUUUACAAUUUGCACAAGUUGAGUUAUUUACGCGUUUUUAUUAAUCAAAAUUCGGGAUUUCUGGAAUUAUAGCAUUUAGGGUGAUUCCUUUUGGAAUACAGAGCGAUAAUGUUUGAUAUCGUCCUCAAGCAUAUACUCGUAUUCAAGUUGUAUAAUACAGCUACUCAAGGUUGCUUCUGUUGUAUGUGCCGUAACACACAAUGUACAGGAGGAAACAGCUCUCUAGGCAGCAGAGUCUUAGGGACACCAAGUUGCUUCUGACUACACAUCUUAAGAGAACGGCCAGCAUAUUUAUGUUUGACAAGCACUUCGAAUACCUUCGGGAAAUUGGGCGCGGAUCAUUCAGCACGGUUGGUGGAUUUUUGAUAUCCUCUAUUUCAUUUGAUUUCAACUACGUGAGCGUAGGGAUAUGUUUACGUAUUGUACAAGAAUAUGUCAGAUUGUAUGCCCUCAAAUAUUGAUCUUUUGAUCGAGAGGUAUUAAACUUCUUGAUAUUGGUAUGACGUACUGCUCUGUAGUACGCCGGACGUAGCGUUCAGCUCUGACGCCACUUGUAGACGAGUCCCUCAUUCGUAUGUCAUCGCCAUUUAUUGCAAUUUCCAUAUUCAUCCUGCAUGCUCACAUCUACGAUGUUUGGUAUGUGUGACUAAUCCACCGAGUCACUAAGCACGUUAUUUGGAUCAUCAUUGGAGGUCAUUGGGAUUGAUUGAUAUGUGGAUUUCAGGUUUAUGAAGCUCGAGAUAGGAAAGGUGGCGCACUGUGUGCAGUAAAAAUGAGCAAAAGGGAAUUUUUUAGUCGUGUGGAUCGAGAUCGAUACAUGCGUGAGAUUCAGAGUGUUUCGUGCCUCCCUGAACAUCCGAAUGUAGUGAAUUAUUUCAGAGGUUGGCAGCAAGAUUCCCACUUCUAUAUACAGAUGGAGCUUUGUGAGGCAGGCAAUCUUCGCAUGCUCCUUGACGCGUUGAAAGAGCCUUUGGAUGAACAUCAGGUAUGGCUGUUCCCUAUGUGGAGUAUUUGUUCAGGGUUCUUCACUUCAGCAAUUCAUUGGGUCGAAAUUCUGUGCAGGUGUAUCAGUAGCAAUUUAUACAGUCGAGGCCUCCAUGAGUUGUGUAGGAAGUCGAAUUGUAUUGAUGAAAUUUUCCAUGCAGGUGUGGGAGUACAUAGGUCAAUUGGCUUCAGCUUUGAGUCACAUACAUAAGCAUGGAGUACUUCAUCUUGAUAUCAAGCCAGAGAAUAUUUUCAUAGAUGGCCAAGGUAAAAACUGCCUUCCUGGUACAGAGUAUUGUCAGUCCUGUGGAUUUUAGCGUCUUCGUAUUCGCCUUCACAGGUAGUUUGUACCACUGUAGAAUAAUGUAAGCUCAAGCAGAUUUCCUUGCAUAUCGUAGUCUGCAACGUCUAUAGUAGAUACGUCUUAACCAGGAUUACUGUAGCAGCAGUUGACAGAUAAUGUAAAUUGGAGGUCGUGUUUGACUCCGUAUGUAAUGCUCUCUGUGAUGAGUUAGUUGUAGUUGACAGAACCAGGAUACAUCUGCAUGCAUCUGUGAGAUAGCUUUGCUGUCAGAAUCGUUCAGGGUCGAUUUCUAUUUAGUUACAGAGCAUACAUUAGCAUUUGGACGUUCAUUUUGGUUAUAAAGGUCGAUCCAUUGGUUGCUUAUUAAGGUCGCUCUGGCAUAUUUUGACAUGUAAAUGCACAGAAUACCGUUGGACUGACUACCUUCCUUUAUUGCUUGUAGGAAACUUGAAAUUAGGCGAUUUUGGCUUAGCAGUACCAUGCAAUAUGUGGGAUUGGGAAGAAGGCGACGGGGGAUACUUAGCACCUGAGCUACUUCAAGAAGAAGAGCCCAGUCCGAUGGCUGAUAUUUACAGCUUUGGUGCCAUGGUUUACGAGUGGGUUACAGGUUUACAGCUACCUCGAUCUAGACCUGCUUGGGAAGAUAUCACUAGGAUGCCAUCCUGGCGGUCUGAAGCUCUUUGCAAAUUGGUGCGAGCAAUGUUGAAUCCGGAUCCUUUGAAGCGACCAAGUGCGGAGCAGAUUAUUUCAUAUCGAAAAAAUCAACCUGCUGUUUAGAAAAAUAUUUGGAACCAGUGCAUUGUUUGUGGGUGUAAAUAUUAUUAGUAGAAUUGCAGUUAUGAACGGUGGGUAGGAAUACUUGUAGUUGCCACUGAUAGCUGCAGCUGUUAAGUAUCCCAAUAAAUUAAAUCGGCAGUACACUACCUUUUGACUACUGGCAACUAACUCUUAUGCAUUGCCGGCUUUACACUAGGGCUGAGGUUUGCAAUUUACAAUCUCAAAGAUAGCCAAUGAGAUCCCAAAAUUGUGCGUAUCCUCAAUAUUUUUGUAUACUGAUUGGCAUGACCGUGUAGACCCGAAAGGAAUCGGAGUUCGACAAAAUAGUUUGUCUUCGACUUGAGGAAUGUUUUUCGAGCAUAGAUUGCAUACUGGCAGCUGCCCUUCAUGAAGCCCUUCGUGUGUAUUCCUUGUUUUGGUUCAUGGGAUUGGAAUGUCCUUUGAAAUCACUGUGAACAUGCCAUUGAUUUGUUGGUUCACUUGGGUUGAGUUGUACCUCUUUUACCUCAGUGCAAUCAAAUUACCCUUUCAUCUCUAUGCUAAAGCUCCUGAUAAUCCUUAUGUUUCCAUUAGAUCCACACAGUCAGCAAAGAUUCUCCUUGUAAUAGGAGGUGAAACACACAGGGUGCGCAUCACAAACCGUGAAGCUUGCAGUUUUAAUUAAACCGAUUAAGAAACCGAUAUUGCAAGCUUCUAUUCUUGUUUAAAGGCUUAGAAUGAUCCUAUAUGUAAUCUAAUCACAUUUGACAAUAUUACCACCUUAAUAUUUAACAUUUAGAAUAAUUCUAUGAUCUUUUUAUUAUAGUAUCAAAAUUUAUUAUUGCGACAUGUAUUGUGGGGACUAGUAAAACUUUACAAUGAUUAAAUAAUAGCAACCUAUACAUGCAACACAAACCACAAUCUAUACUAAUAACAUAUUUGAUUUCUUAGUGACAAUUAUUUAAUAAUAAUUGACAUAUUCAAUAAACUUGUUUAUUUAGUAUUUAAUAAACUUUACUUCCAACUUUAUAUCAUAAAAUUUAAGAAUCAUAUUUUAAGUACUUUGGUUAGUUUGGAUUAAGGUAAAGAUGGUCUUUCUAUACUUGUUCAAGUUCUGCAAUUACAAUACUUUAUUAUGGGCUUAAUUGUUCUCAGUAGUAUCUCCAUUUUAUAACAUUUCUUGUAAUGGACCUUUCUGCCUUAUUUAGUAUUUUUAUUUUUAGCUAUAGUUAAACAUUGAAAAUACAAAGACUUAUACUUCACAAUGAUAUUAGAAUUGGCACUAAUAAUAAACAAAAACAACUCUUGAGAUUUAAUAGAACUCAUUCAAAUAUAUUAAAUUUUAGUUGGAUCCUAUUUCUAAAUUGGAUAUCAAAAUAUUUUAAAAUAAAAAUUGUCAUGUUACCAAUUUAAGACCAAUCCAAACUACAAAUAAAACAAAACAAUCUUGCCUUGUCCUACUUCUUUUGGAACCUGGAUAAAGAUAAUCCAUAAAAAUAUAAUGUUAUGUGACUUUCUUUGACAACUAUACAACAUCUAACAAAAAUAAAAAUUGGAAGUAUUUUCUCUCUGAAUAAUUUUAUUUAAAUGAUUCUUAUAUUUAAACACGUCUAAAAAAUUUGGAUACAAAUCAUGAUCUUUUCUUUCUAAGAUAAUUAUUCUAUUAUUAGAUUUACUUUUAGAAAACAAUUAAGCCAUCACUCUCUCAUUAUAAUUUGAUUUUUUAGAGAAAGAAGGCUCUACACAUACCUAUUUUUUAUACCAUUGUUAAUAAACUACUUGUUUUAAUUUCAGCAUGGUCUAAGGAACUUAUAUUCCUCUAAAAUAACAGCCAUUUUAAUUUUAAUUUUUUUUUCCCCUACCCUAAACAUUGGCUCUUUUGUGUUUUUAUUUUAUUAGAUGUCCAUUUAAGGUAGUUCUAAGUGUUUUAUAAAAUACAAUCAAUAUUUUUAUUGCACUUUAAUUGAUUAAGUUUUUAGAAGUCCUAAGAGUUAUGUUAAAAUCUGUUUAUUUGGGGUCACAAAAUUGUUUGUUUGGUAUUACGAAUUCAUCUUAAUAAAAAGCUGUAUAGUACUCAAUUCUACCAAAAAAAAAUUUAAAAUAACAUGGUCAUAGUUUAUAUCUAUUUAUUUUAUAUUAUUGUUUUUUAAAAAUAUCUUUUGAUAUCAAAUAAACCUUAAUCAAUGCCACAAUUUUGUUAUUAUUGUUGUCUUUAAUUAUUGAUUUCUACUUCAAAACCUUAAAUUCAUAACAAUGAAGAUAAAAAAUUCAAGAGUUUCUUAACUACUAGGAUAAUGCAAAGAUACUAGAAGGUUUAUAAUUGAGAUAAAAAUAAAACUCGAGAAAAGAAUUAAUAAGACAACAUCUAGACUUUGUCUUACUUUUGUCUAUACUAUUUGUGUAGUUUAAAAUAUAGCCCAAGCAUUAAAUUUAAUUUAAAAAAAAAAUUACAUUCUACGAAAAUUAGAAUUUUAUAUAUGUAAUAUUACUUCUUCUAGAACAAGUUUAAUAAAAAAAUAUAUAAUCUAUCUAUGUAUCUAUCUGUCUACAUUAAAGAUUGUGUCUCAAGUACAUUGUCAUUAUGAAUAUUAAUAUUAAUAAAAAAAUAAAAAUAAAAUAACAUUUAAAAAAAUGAUACUUAUCAUGACAGAUUGAAUCAAAAAUAUUUGUUAUGUAUUUUACGAUAAUUUUUGCAUCUAUUAUAAUGCAUUUACAAACUUUGGUAACAGAUUUUAUGUCUACACAUUGAUAUUACAAUUGUGCUAACAUGUUAAAUGUUUUUAUUUUGCAUAUCUUAUUCUUAAUCAAUUAUGAUAUUCCUCUAAUUUUAUAUUAUAACUUUAAUCUUUUGAUAAUCUUACAAUGUUAGAUAUUAGAAGACAUGGAAAUUUUAUAUUAUAUAAUAUACAAUAUCAGAAGACAUGGAAAUUCUCAUAAUGCAAAAAAGAGAGAAUAAAUAAAAGUCUAAUAGGUGCAGCACAAUAGACUAGGUCAUAUUUAAUAGUAAGCAUCAUACAAAACCAUUGAAACACUUUAACACUCAAAAUCAUGUUGAUUGAGCAACAUUCCAAACCCCAAAAUUUAGUUAAAUAAAGUGAUUUUUUAAAAUGACCCAUGUAUUUACUAAAUCAACCCAUCCAUCAUUAUUGGUUGAAGAUCCAACUAUUUUUUCAUUGGUUUUUGAUCAAUGCAGAUCCAAUAAUGCAGACUUUUUUGAUGGUGGUUAGAAUGAGUGGGACGAUUUAAUAAAUGCUUAGGUUAAUUCAAAAAUGCCCUAAAUAAAUUACAUCACAGUAUACUCUAGAACAUUAAAAAAAAACAGACAAUUGUAAACAAAACCAAGCGAUUGAUUAUCCAAACGGAGGAUAUGAUUGGUAGUUGACCCUUCAUGCGAUGACGUGGAACUAGGGGGAAUCUACCAAUGCGAUCCCACUGGGCUGACAAUCUGAUGAACGAAAACAUAGAAACAUUCCGUUACCGAAUCAUUCAUCCGCUCCAGAGCGGGGAGAGCGGCCCUGGAGGGAUUGAAGGAUGAUGAGAUGAGGAGGCGUGGUCCAGUCGAUGAGCCCAGUCCGCGCACCUCGCACCCAAUUCCUCGGGCCCCAAAUCCUGGUCGCGCGAGAGAUUGAUAUUGGCCACGGGCGUGUCGCGAUUGAAGCUGUUACGGUAGAUAGCAUUCGGUAGAGAGAAAGAGAGCGAUAACAGUGCGCUGUUCCGAAGCAUAAUUUGCAGUUGGAGCGGUGGUCAUGGAGGUGGUGGCCAAUCCCGCGAAGCUUCGAGCAUGGCUGUCUUGUGGGGUCGCUGCCGUUGCGGAGUCCAAGCAGUUGGGUCGCUCCUCAACGACGAGAGUGGCGUCGAGGAGAUUGCUGCCGGUGAGUUCCUUGAUCUCGAAGCCGCUGCGGGAGCAAUGGGCAGGCUCUUGGGAGACAGAGAGAGGAGGGAAGAGCAGGAGGCCACUGGCCGUGGCUGUAGCAGUCGCGGAGGGUGUCGUGGAGGAGGAGGAGAAGAUGAGGGAGAAAGAGGAGGUGAAGAAGCUUUUGCGGCCUACCCCGGCUGAGGGUGCCAGGACCGUCAUGGAGACUUGUAAAGAAGGGACGUUGUCAACGCUGUCCGAGGAUGGAUGGCCUUUGGGAACGGAAGUGAGGUUUGCCGUGGACACAGAUGGAAACCCCGUUCUGCGCUUGCAACCUGGCGCGACGCAUACCAAGCACAUCUUGAAGGAUAGCCGGUGCAGUUUGCAUGUGCAGGUAAGUAGUUGGGCAGUGGUCAUGAAAUUAAAUUACGUGAGUUAUAACCAAGGAAAUGAGCAAGGCGAAAAGUUGUCGAUUAUUUAGAAUUUCGCUUAAUUGCCUUCGGUAGAAUAGUAUUGUAUGGCAAUGACGAUUGGUACGAUGCUACGGCUUAUGAGCUAUAUUCGACUGUCGUGAAUUAUUUUCGUGGCUGAGCCGGAGAAUUUUAUUGAGGCUCCAAAUGCUGCGUCGAGUUUUCACGCAACAGUGGUCUAUUUUCUUAGUAUAAAUAACGUUCGCUCCCGUUGUGACCUAAACUGCGCACCGCUGGGUUUCGAACUUUCCUGCUCGUAGCGUUUGCAAUUCGAGUAUCUCCGAGGCCAGUAUUCCCUCAAUGUGGAGGUUACGGAAACAAACUGUGGCUCAUCAUCAAUCUACCUCCUGUGAGGAUGUUGAGAGAAUUACUUUUGGCGCUCUUAUCUCAGCUAUGUUGGAUAUCUUGCAGUUAAUCAGGUCUUGGUACCAGAUGAUAAACCCUGGUACUAUUAUCUUGAUUUUCUUGUGUGGAAUCUUAGGGAAGUGAUUUAGUUUUGCGCUCAAGCUCGUGGAAUUUGUUUGUUGGGAUGGGCAGUUGGAACAACCAGGCCGUCGAAAGCCCCAGUGUACAUUGCAAGGUUUCAUUCGCAAGAUUGAAGACAUUAAGCUGAAAGAGGUAAGUUGGCUUAUAUUGUAUGCAUACAUUGACAUGUUCGGGAAUCGAAUUCAAGUCUACUUUUAUAGUCAUAGUUUGAGUUAUUGCAUGUAUUGGAUUUUAAUCUGCCACCGAGUGAUGCUCAAGAUUUAGUUCCAAGAAUCUGUGUACCCAAUAUAUUAGAGCGGAUUAGGUAUUUUGUCUUUCCAACCACUGAUUGGAGUAUUGUGCCACACUUAUUGUUCUCGAGGCCGGCUGUGAAGCACUUGUUGAUGAUUUUGCAUCUGCCUGUACUGUAGAGGCUUGAAAUUGCUUGGGAGAGACGGUUUGCCUCAGAACAACAUACCGCGGGUGACGACUUAUAUGUUAUGAAUGUUGAGCAAGUACUACAAUCUCCGGACAUGGGUGAGGUAAUGGCCAACUUACCUUUUACUGGCAUAGUUGAGAGUAACUGAACUUUGGUCAGAUCGCUGAUGAAACAUGCCACACGCUCUAGCAACUGAAGCCCACGCGGCUUUGUGAAUUACGGUUUUCAGGAGGAGAUUUGGGUUUCCGGACCAGAUUACUGGGCUGCUGCAGCUGAUCCAUUGAGGGAGGUUGCUAAGCGCAUUGUGGAAGACAUGAAUAGGAAUCAUUGGGAAGACAUUCGUCGAUUUUGCAACGUAUACGCAAAGCUAGAUGCCGAGGUAAAUGUCUUUUAGCUUGUAUCCGGAUGACGUCGUAACCAUCUAAUCGCACCAGAGAAUUAAAAGUAAUUGUUUCAUGGUUUAAAGGUGGUUCGAGUCUGAAGUUCCUGUUCUGCAGUUGAAGAAGCACAGUUUCCCAGAGUGUUUGAUUUGGUGUUUUAGCUAUCUUCUGAUUGUCGAUUAACAUUUUGUUGAGUGGUUGUAGGCGUUGUUUUUCAUGGACGUUUUGUAUAAUACCCGUCAUACUUAAAUGUUACAGACGAAGGCUGUUGAGUGAUGUCAAUUACCCGAGAAAUAUAGAUCUUACAGAUCCAAGAUUCUGAUUUUUUUUUGCAAAUAAUGUUGCAGCUUGAGGAGGCAAGCAUGACAUGGGUGGACAGGCUUGGAUUCGAUUUACGGGUACUCACUAAAUCACCGCAGAACAUUCUAGAAAUCCGGAUUCCAUUUACACGUGAGGUUACUGAUGAGAGAGAUGCAAGAUCAUCUCUUACAAUUAUGGCCCAAAUAGCUUGGGAGCAGGAACGAAGUGUCACUCCCUCUGAAGUUGUAUUAGCCACUGUUGAGUUAUAGUUUUGUUUCUCCUCCCUCGGAAAUUUUGUCCUGAAAGUAUGCUUUAGUUAGAGAUUUGAAACUGUUCUUGCGAUUUCUAUCGACCGUCUCCUAAGAUUAAGAACCUUCAUUAUCCAAUAUGAAAGACUUGGCAAACGUAUGCCAUGUAGUACUGUCAAUCAACAGAGUGUUGAUUUCAUUCCCCGAGCAAUUUCUCACUAUGCAACUAUGAAAUGAAACGAAGUCAUUGAGUAUCUGGUUCAUUCAUAUCUCGGAAGAUGCGAAGGACGACGCUGGCCGGCUUCAAGUCAUUAUCUUGGCAGAUAGUGAAAGCGAAAAUUAUUGACAUCCCAGUCGGCUCAAGGCAAGUGAUGGUUAGCAUAUUGGCUUGUCUUUUGUUACCUUAAUGACUUGAUGUGGACUUAAACGCGUAUACAUCGGGCAGGCAAACCAAGGAAGGCCGCUGAUGGGAUUCGCUACAAACCGUGCCUCAUUCAAGUGCCUGUGAUGGAGGCUCUAGAAUGGAAUUGUUUCUUAACUGAGAACGCUGGACACUUCACUGGGAUCUCUGGAACCGUUGCUCUCUAGAUUCAUUUUAGAAUGCAGAGAGCAAUGAUUCAAGGAUGUUCUGAUCUUGCAUUAUGGUUUCUCCUUCGAUACUUUCUGAAAUACAACCCAUUACCUUCCAAUCUUCUCUUUAUUUCCUUUCAUCUGAAGCCGCCGAAUCAAAAUAUACCUUCGUAAUGGACUUUGUCUGCCUUCUAUAGAUUAAUGCCUUACAAUGCAUCAGAGAGAAGCGUAAACCUGCCUAUAAUCCGGAUUUUUGUUGUCUCAGUUUUUUAAAUAGCGUUUUCGAAUGCUGUACCUCUCGUACUAUUAGUCCCCUCUUAUGGAGACUUGUCUCCGGCAAUUUCCUGUGUACCUUUCUCUGUGAUUCUCUCAUUGAGUUUGUAUCACACAUGAAAAUGGCUUAAAAUAGUGGAAUGAGGAUUUUGGAAGAGAAUGUGUAACAAUAUAUUUUGAUAAACGUCAGUAGUGGAGCAAUAGUUAAAGUGUUGUUGAUGUCUUUUAUUGGUCCUUUGAAUUCAGAGCACCCAUUAACGGCAACUUUCAGUUUCUUUUAUUACUUUAUUUUCUAUAUAUGCAAAAAUUGUCUCAAAACAAGGGAAUGGUACCUAGAGAGGGUAACUUCAAGCAAUGUGCUUGCUUUGAAGACCCACUCUUCAAGUUUUUAGUUAAUAUUCUUCAAAAUGUAUGCUUCAUCUUUUUUCCAUCUCUAAAGGAUAUUUUUUUUGAUGGUUUCUACGUGUUGGCUCUCUUUCAUUUUUUUUUUUAUUUUGUUUUUUGAUGGUUUCUGCGUUUUGGGUCUCUGUCAUUUGUUUUUAUUUUGUUGUUUGUUGUGCUAAGUUUGUAUAUUUAAACACCCUUUAAUAUAAGGGAUCAAAAUAACACAAUGAUUAGUAGAUUUUUUUAAACAUAUAUAAGAAUCAAUUGUGAAUAUUAAAACACAAAAAUGAUAUGAAGAGUAUUUGGAAAAAGAAACAUAUAUAAGCUAAUGAAGAAAUAGUAGAUGCAUAUAAUUUUAAUGCCAUAAAAUUAUUUAACAAUGUGAUCUACAUGUGAUCAAUGAUAUUUUAUUAAAUGCUCUAAACAUAAUAAAUAAGCAAUUGUUUUUAGUCCAUCUGGUUUUGUCAAUACAAACAACAAAUGUUGUACCAAAAAUAUAUUGCAUUGCAAAUUAAUAUAGUUCAUUUCAGUUAUUUUUAUUUUUUUAAAAGAUUGUUGUUUUGCUCAUGAUUUCAUAAGUUUUGUGAACAUCAAAGGUAAUAGAUUAAUCUUUAUGUUUAAAAUUAGCAUUCUAGGAUUGAGUAUUAUGGUUGGAUUUUUCAAAGUUAAAAAAUAUAAAGUAUUUAUAAUUUAUAAUACUCUAAUUUAUCACUUUUAUUUUUUCUUAAUUGUAGCUUUUCUUGGUUGUGAUAAUAUUGCUCUUGUAUUAGCAUUGCAAAUUGAUACCAAUAAAUAUUUAACAUUAGAUAAUAUUGGAUGUAUUGUCAUAGAUAUACCUAUUUAUACUAAUAAUUACUUAGAUAAUAUGAAUAGAUGAAAAUAGGUAAAAGUAGGUUAAUUUGAUAAUAUCUUAUAGAAAAACUUCCUAAAAACUUCAUAGACACAGUUUUACCUUUAGACAUGUCUAUAGGUGAUUGAUAGGUUAGAUAAUUGGUCAACAAAUUAGCUACAUGUUGUGCAUGUUGGUACCUUGCAGUGCAAGCUAACCACAUGGUACAUGUAUAAGAAACUUGCCUUGUAAGUUAAAACAUGUGUCUUACAACUUGGACAUGUAUGAGAGGUCCUAUAAAACGUGCCAUGUAGCUCCUAGGUAUUUACUAUAUAUAUAUAUAUGCAAAGAGUGAAGCCUUCUUCACUUUUGUUAUUUUCUUUCUUACUUCUAAUCUAAUUUCAAGGGUUUCUAAUUUUCUUAUCGUUUGGCAAUAGCCAUUCCAAUUUCUUUCUUAAUAUAUAUAUACAUUUUAUUAAUUCUAUUUUAUCAUCUUUCUUUGAAAAAUUUUUUUGUUUACUUGCAUUUAUUGAGUUCUUGUCCUUGACAUGUAGCUAUGCAAGAGUUAGUUGAUUUUAGAAGUAUUAUAUCUUUGAUAAAUGUACAUAAAACUAAAUGCCUUAAGUUGGAGUAGAUUUAGCUAUAGUAGUGUGAAUUAAUAAAAUCUAUUAAAAAUAAAAUGAAUACUCAUGUUAUCAUCAUAAAUCACAAAUUAGAUCUACCAUAACAAGUCAAUAUUUUAUAAGAGAAACCAAGAUCUUAUACAAAAUAAUUCUUAAAAGAUACCCAACAAGUAUGUUGAUGGAAUUGAGGAGGAGGUAUUGCAUAUAAUUAUUAUUCUUAAAAAACAUCUUGAGGUGAAUAUGAUUUCUAAUAAAAAGAUAUUUGAAAGUCUACUUAAAUAACUAAAUUUUUGAUGGUCUCAAUCACAAUUUGACUCACUUCUUAAAAGAUAUAAUUUACUUUGAUUAGAUUAGGAAAUUGACUCUUGCAUCAUUGUGGUACAUAAAUGGGUUUGCAUCAAUAAAAGGUGGUAUCACUUAAUUGUGAUAAAUUGGUGCUCCUUCCUAAGUAUAUUGCAGACGUUAUGAUGAGCGAAUUGUUUUGCUUGAAAUAAUUAGAAGAAAGCACAAGUAGAAUCUUCUUAUUUUCGUCUUAUCAAUAUCGAAAUUUGUUGCUACUUAAACAUUGCGACUGAAGGGGCCUUUACAAACACACCGAUUUCCUCUAGUGAAGAAGAAAAUUAUCCAACUUCUGGAACAACAGUAAGAUUUUCGACAUACAAAACCACUCUGAUAGGAAGUAAGGUCCCUUAUUUACAGUACGACAUAAAUGCAAUCAUUAAGUAAUGUAGCCAUCUAAAGAUAAUGUAGACCUGUCUUUCUUUUUUUGACUCAUUAAAUCUGAUUAAUAAGAAUGCUCGUUCAGAAUAAUGGUAGAAUUGUUCCAAUAGAUAGUCAUGCAACUUUAUAUUAUGAUAGCAGACAUAAUAGUGAACAGUUCGAGUAAUACGUACAUAUUCAUGUAUAUUUGGUCAAUUAACUUCGUAGUUUAUCACGACUAGGUAGUGCAACCUAAGACACACCCAAGUAACUUCAACCCUAAGGAAUGUACUCUCGACACAGCAGAAACGUAACUGGUUGGAUAGAGCUUAAAGAAACGGGAAGGUUUGAAGUCAGUUCGUCAAGAAGAAGAGCAGACCUCCAAAUAGACUGGCAAAGAAGUAGCUAAGCGUAGAGGAUGCAGAACAGUUCGUGAUGAGAGACUUCGAGUAUCCUUCAUGAAAACAUCUCCUGGCGUGUUUAGUCCACGUAAGAGCAUUAAGAAGAAAGAAAUCUUCGUCCAGCCCUAUUAAUGCAGUUUUAGUACAUUAUUUUAUUCCAUAAACAUGUCAGCUAAUUCAGUGAGGGUUGAAGCAAUGGUGAAGGUGAGAAGCCCAGAAAUCUAUGAGAAAAAUCAGAUGGUUUUCGCCAUAGCUUAUAGCCAUGAUACGAAAAGCCUUAUUGUUACAUAUACGUGAAACAAAACAACUUACUUGGACUGAGAAGCGAGCUGGUGAUAACAAGAAGCCACAAGCAGAUUUCAAAAACCUUUCCAGAAGCACCAACAUUGCCGGAUGAGCCGAGCAGACAUGUGAUGAAAACGAUGCAGGAAAAUGACACCCAAAGGACUGAGGGAAAUUUUGAAGUAUAUCGCAGGAGCCAGGAGGAAGAGCAGAGCAGAAUAAUGUCGUGCCAUGCCGUUUCAGGCAACCACACCUCACAAAACACCAACAAAUGGCAGCCUCGGUAAGUUGAACAUCCUUAUGUCUUGACAAAGAAGGAUUUUAAACACUCAAUGAGUUACCACAAGUUGAACCGACACAUGUUCGAUCCAUGGACAAAACCAAUAAAACAAUGAAAACCACAGAAAGCAUCCAAGGUUGGAGGCAGCUGAAGCUUUGACACAAGGUAGUUCAAUUGAAGCAGCCAGCAAAAUCAAAGGGAGGUCCAAAGCUUUUACAUGCCUAAUAUCGUGAGCUCAUGGCAACUCAAAAAUUAGUAUCAAGCCCACCUCAACACACGCUCUAGGACCUGCGAGGGCGUGGAAGUGCAGACACCAGAUGCAGAAAAGACUUUUUCUGACAGAACAACUCCUCGACUUCAGGGGGGCAUAAAUUGCAGCAUAAACCUUCAGAUAAAUAUCUUCAAGGACUUCUGCUCCUGCUCCUACGGCGGUCACGGGCUGCUAUCGGACUCCUGUACAUGCGAUUAAUUACAGAACUUUAAAUAUUAGAAGCAUAUUCUAUGUUAAAUCGUAUAAAAUAUAACAAUAAAAAUGUUCAAUUUAUGAAAUGGUGAAACCUCAAGAAGACAAGACCAAGUUAUACAUACCCAUUGGCGACCGGGGAUCCGCGGCGGUCACGUCUAGGUGGGGGCGAUCGACUGGGGCUUCUACCUCGGCGAACCGGCGAGACACUUCUUAGGCGUGGUGAGGAUUUGCUCCUUCCUCGAACCUGCGGACUGCUAAAAACAGAGAAGAAACAAUAAAAUCAGACGCCUGAAAUAGUAGGCACGACACUGUAAUGGAAACAACCAUUAGAAAUCCAAAACACGCUACUGGAAUAGUAGGCAGAACACCUGCGGACAACCAACAAUGACUGGAUACUACUAAAGCAUGGUCAAAAAAUUGAAGCAAUAAUAAAUCGUAUACAAUGAUUCGGUACUUGUAUCACAUCGAGGUAAAACAAGUCAUCGAUUUACUUGAAUCAUCGGCUCAACGUACCUCCGGCCACCAUAGCCAUAGCUUGGACUGCGACGAUACCGUGGGCUAGAAGAGGAUGUGGAACCAUUGUUCACCGUCAGAUUCAGAUUCAACGAAAAUAAAGAGGAAAAGAAAAGAAGUAAAAAGAAAGGAAGCAAAACUAGAACAUAGGAACAGCAAAUGACCUUCUGUUCCUUCUGAUCUAUUUGUCAUACAAGUAAGAAGACUGGAGAUACCUUCGGCCACCAUAGCUUGGGCUGCGACGAUAUCUUGGACUGGCGCGAGGGCUUUUACCACGGCCUCCACUACCCAGACCUCCAGCCCCUAUACGAAGACGACAUUCUCUUGCAAAAUGGCCAGGCUCUCCACAUUCGUAGCAUUUCAUGUCAUCCCCUCCACGACCACGAGGCCCACCGCCUCCGCCUGAACUCCGAGAGAGCUCAACUCGCCAACCAUUCUUACCUAUGAGGUAAAAUCCACACAUAAACAUCACGAUCUGCAUGAAGGAGACCCAUCACCAUAUUUUGCAAUCGCUUUAUUGCUCCAAAUCCAUCUAGAAGGAUCAAUGUCCUGCGCCUGCCGGGAUCCCUAUAUCUCUUCAGAACCUCUACCUGGCUGCACGCUUACCGUCAAGAGCCCGAAUUGCAUCCCGUGCAUCUCGUAUAUCAUCGAACUCCACAAAAGCAAAACCCGCCGGCUUCCGGGCUACCCAUACACUGUGUCACCAGAUACAUACAAUGUAUCAAAACCAUGACAAGGCAAAACGUGAACAUACCAUUCAAGGCACGAAUGGCAUCAUCUGCAUCUCUUCGAUCUUCAAAUUCGAUAAAAGCAAAGCCCGGUGGUUUGCGGCCGACCCAUACACUGAAAUCCAUAAGUCAGACACGAGUAGCUUUCAGAAGCAAAUUCUUAACAUACAACAUGAAUACUCCAUCUUGUCAGUGAGUUGAACUCACAACCAUCGAAGAGUGAAGCGUAAUUUAUAUCUUAUAUGAAUUUCAUUACUUACAAGCUGAGCAAUACUCCUGACAUUCGACUCAUCAGCAUCAAUUUUUGUGACGCAGACCUUAAUUGAUUAAAUUAUGUAAAAAUUAUCUCAAUAGACCUUUCUCUGGUGUGAACUUUUAUUGCAGGUUGAAAAUAUUAGGACAGUCUAACCCCCCCCCCCCGCUCCUCGCAUACCCUGAAUAUAAGAGACUCAUAGAACUACAUAAAAGUGUGCCAUCAAAAACUACAAACAAACACGCAAAGCUCCACAACUCAACUUGCAGUAAAAUUCUUAUACCCGACAAUAACGAAAAGGAAAAAAGAAAGGAAAAGAAAUGCAUCACCUCCUCCCAACCAAACCCUCGUCACUAAACAUAAAAAUAAAAACUAGAGACCACUUCUUUGCCAAAGAAACAUCACAACAAACCUGCGGAGCACGCCGUAGACACGAAAUUCGUCCUCCAGUUCCCUCUCGGUUGCCCGCGGAUCCAGGUUGCCGACAUAAACACGCGACAUGAUGCGCGAAUCGGCCAACAGGAAUGGCCCUGCUCAACGCUACAACCAGACUUCAAAAAACUCCAAGAACGGGGCGAGAGAGGGAGGCGGGAGGAAGAGAAGAAGAAGACGGCCUCGGUGGAAUGGCCGGAUCCGAGACAAGAGCCCGACGGCAAACACGAGAGAUUAAGUCAGAGGGAGCAGAUGGUUUCCAAAGGAGCAAUGCAAGUGAGUGCGGGGCCGGAAAUCAAAGGGCCGACAGGAAAGCAAGCGAGCAAAAGUUCGAGAGACGAGAAAGCCAAACCCUAACCCUCCAUAACAAAACACAAUCUGUCUCCCUCCAAUUUUACCAUAAAAUUGAAAGUGGGUUUGUCGAGGCUUUACCGCGGUUGUGUGAAUAUAUUAAAGGUCCCUUUUCACACUAGAACGAGGUCCGUCUUCUCUCACGUCUUUCUUCAUUAUGGAGAAUAAGAUUUCAUCCAUGUUUGGAUGAAUGUAUAAAUAAGGUUGCUAAUUAUUUGGAUUUUGGAAUAAUGUACAAUAGAAUGUCCAAAGUUUUGAAUAAUCUCUUUUUUAAAAUUGCAUAUGUCAAAAUUCAUAAUUUCUUUGAAGUGAUUUCUAUUAAUUAAAAUUUGAUAUCAGUAUUUGUGCAUUUGCAAAUUAAAGUUGACCUCAAAUUAAAGCAUUAUAAAAAAAAAUUACAUUUUUAUUUUGAUUUUAAUUAUUUUUAGUUCUUAAUUUAUAGUAAAUAUCUUGUAUGUUAAAUUUGGAUGGAUUUAUUUGUAUAAAAUUAGAAAUACUUCAUUCUUAUCAAAGAAAAAAAAUUAUUCUUAAUCUUAUACUUUUGACUCUUCUUUUUCAAAUAUAUAAAAAUCUAGUAGGAUUUUAAGCUAUGUCAAUAAAAAAAACCAAGCUUUGCAUCAAUACUCAAUAAAAUUAUGUCUAUUUAAAAAUAAAAAUCUUCUACUGUGGCAAAGAAGUCUUUAUGUUAAUAUUUAAAAAGAUAAAAUAGAAAAUAUUAGAAAAUAUCUAGAGUUGCUUUUAAUGACCAAAGUGUUGACAUGUUAUAGGUGGAUAAUAAUAUAUGGAUGAUUAAUAGAGAAGAGACAAGUAAAUGAAGAAAAUGUGGUUGACUUGUAUCGAUAUGAACUGUGUUUGAUCUUUUUUACUAUCUAAUAAGCCAUUAAAAUAAGAUAUUACUAUUUUAAAUUAAUGAUACUUCAAAGAAAAUAUAAUUAAUACUUGAAAUUCGUUUUAUUAUUCAAAAAAAUGGUUUAUUGAACAAUUUUUGUCUUUUUAGAAGUAAUUUUUUCUGUGGUCUAUAUCGCAGGUUGAAAUGUGAAAGAAAAUUAAAAAAAAUGUUGGCUUGCAAACUAAUUUGUUUUAAAGAAAAUCAAUGGAUAUGAAGAUGUAGAUUUGUUUUUUUAAAUAUACAUAUUUAAUAUAUAAAAAAUAUAUUUUUAUAAAAUAAACAAUCAUUAUAGUUUUUCCUAAAAUCAUUGAUUUUAGAUGUAUUCUAAGGUGAAUUUAAUAUAUAUAUAUAUAUAUAUAUAUAUAUAUAUAUCAUUACAAUUGAUUUUAAAUUAUCAUUGAUCUUUAAAAAUAAAAAAAAAACUAAGAUAAUACUUCUUAAUUCAUAACUACAACAAGAAAAAAUAAUAACAAUAAUGAUAUCACUUGCAUAAGGAUAAAUAGAGAUUGUAAAAGACUGUAAGAUUAAAAAAUAAUAUUGCUAACAUAAUUUUAUAAUAAUAAUAUUAUUAAUAAAUAAGGAUAAAGCCUUGAUAAUCAAUUAAAAUUAUAAAUUACUUAAUUAAAAAAUGUCAUAAUUAAGUUGCAAAUGUUUCUUGAAAAAAUUAUAUAUAAAUACAUGUGAGUUCAUAAAAUAAUAAUGCUUCUCAAUUCUCUAUAUUAGAAAUUUUUAGAAUAUGUCUACUCUUAACAACACUCUUUUAAGAGUGGUGGUAUCAUGGUCACAACUUCUAUCCACUUACUACCAAUUUCUUUUUUUAAAACUUCUUAAAACAAUUUUUUAAAAAAAUUUAGAAAAAUAGUUAUUUUUUGAUA